rnacentral:lncRNA from 1 species
UCCCUCUCUAGCCUUUGGCCGCCAUCCCGUCCCCCUAAUUCCCUCUCUCUUGUGCAGCCGCCCCCCAUCCUCUCAACCCUAGCCGCCACCCCCCUCCUAUCUCCUCCUCUCCAAGUGAUGUCCUUCCUCGCCGGAUCUUCUUCGUGUGGGUGCAAGUUCCGAUUGGAGAAUUGGUGGGAGGAAGGAAGGAGGAAGGGAGGAACCCAAGGUGACUUUGUGAUUAUCUUUUGUUGUUUAUGUGCUGCAAUCAAAUUGAUUAUAUGUUUACCCAUGCGAAUCGGUAGAGGUACUGUCUGGAAAUUUUGUGGGUGGGCGAACAACAGUAGUUCUAGUGAUUUCUGGAAAUUUUUCGUGGGUUAUUAGUGGGGAUCAGUGGGAGAGUCAUGUAGAGAUUUGUCAUACCUUUCCAACGAGUACUUAUGUGCUCGAUUCGGAGUUAUAUUUUAGGAGAUAUUGCGGUUUGAAUCCGGGUAUGUGGUUGUCCAAAAAAAACAGAUUUCUGCAGGUGAGCGAACAGCAGUAGUUCUAGUGAUUUCUGGGAAUUUUUCGUGGGUUAUUAGUGGAGAUCAGUGGGAGAAUCAUAUAGAACUUUGUCAUACCUUUCCAACGAGUACUUAUGCGCUCGAUUCGGAGUUAUAUUUUAGGAGAUAUCGUGGUUUAAAUCCGGGUAUGUGGCUGUCCAAAAAAACAGAUUUCUGCAGGUGAGCAAACAACAGUAGUAUUAUCAGUUUCUGGAGAUUUUUCGUGGGAACUUAGUGAUAAUAAAUAUGAGAAUCAUGUAGAUCCUUGUCAUACCUUUCCAACGAGUACUUAUGCUUUCGAUUCGGAGUUAUAAUUUAGGAGAUAUCGCUGUUUGAAUCCGGUUAUGUUGCUGUCCAAAAACAGAUUGCUGGGUGUAUCUUGUAGACGGGUUUGGGCUAAUUAGAUGUUGGAAUUUAAUUAUCAUUUGAAUAUAAAACUUGUGGGGAAUUUUAUGUAGAUGCUUCCGGAGUUUUUUAAAAUUAUCAAGCAGCGCCGCUGCAGUGUGGUGGUGAUGGGGAGAAUUGUCGCUCGCGACGGGUUGGAAUUAUGCGUAGGUGCGGCGUUGUUUAGUAGCGUUUGUUAUGUUGAUCUGUGCACUAAGGUGUGUGUCAAAAACAGGAGGUGGACUUCCGGAUCGUACUUAGCACUAUUCCAAAUUCCCG